UACGUAGGGGGCGAGCGUUGUCCGGAUUUAUUGGGCGUAAAGAGCGUGUAGGCGGUUCGGUAAGUCUGUCGUGAAAUCCUGAGGCUCAACCUCGGACGUGCGAUGGAUACUGCCGGGCUAGAGGAUGGUAGAGGCGAGUGGAAUUCCCGGUGUAGCGGUGAAAUGCGCAGAUAUCGGGAGGAACACCAGUAGCGAAGGCGGCUCGCUGGGCCAUUCCUGACGCUGAGACGCGAAAGCUAGGGGAGCGAACGGG
rnacentral:rRNA from 1 species